GAUGAACGCUAGCGGGAGGCCUAACACAUGCAAGCCGAGCGGUAGAGUCUCUUCGGAGACUUGAGAGCGGCGCACGGGUGCGGAACACGUGUGCAACCUGCCUUUAUCUGGGGGAUAGCCUUUCGAAAGGAAGAUUAAUACCCCAUAAUAUACUGGAUGGCAUCAUCUGGUAUUGAAAACUCCGGUGGAUAGAGAUGGGCACGCGCAAGAUUAGAUAGUUGGUGAGGUAACGGCUCACCAAGUCAGCGAUCUUUAGGGGGCCUGAGAGGGUGAUCCCCCACACUGGUACUGAGACACGGACCAGACUCCUACGGGAGGCAGCAGUGAGGAAUAUUGGACUAUGGGUGAGAGCCUGAUCCAGCCAUCCCGCGUGAAGGACGACGGCCCUAUGGGUUGUAAACUUCUUUUGUAUAGGGAUAAACCUAGAUACGUGUAUCUAGCUGAAGGUACUAUACGAAUAAGCACCGGCUAACUCCGCG
rnacentral:rRNA from 1 species